rnacentral:rRNA from 1 species
AUUGAACGCUGGCGGCAGGCCUAACACAUGCAAGUCGAGCGGAUGAGCGGAGCUUGCUCCAUGAUUCAGCGGCGGACGGGUGAGUAAUGCCUAGGAAUCUGCCUGGUAGUGGGGGACAACGUUUCGAAAGAAACGCUAAUACCGCAUACGUCCUACGGGAGAAAGCAGGGGACCUUCGGGCCUUGCGCUAUCAGAUGAGCCUAGGUCGGAUUAGCUAGUAGGUGAGGUAACGGCUCACCUAGGCGACGAUCCGUAACUGGUCUGAGAGGAUGAUCAGUCACACUGGAACUGAGACACGGUCCAGACUCCUACGGGAGGCAGCAGUGGGGAAUAUUGGACAAUGGGCGAAAGCCUGAUCCAGCCAUGCCGCGUGUGUGAAGAAGGUCUUCGGAUUGUAAAGCACUUUAAGUUGGGAGGAAGGGCAGUAAGUUAAUACCUUGCUGUUUUGACGUUACCAACAGAAUAAGCACCGGCUAACUUCGUGCCAGCCGCCGCCGUAAUAC